rnacentral:rRNA from 1 species
GACGAACGCUGGCGGCGUGCCUAAUACAUGCAAGUCGAGCGAAUCUCGAGGAGCUUGCUCCUUGAGAUUAGCGGCGGACGGGUGAGUAACACGUGGGCAACCUGCCUGUAAGACUGGGAUAACACCGGGAAACCGGUGCUAAUACCGGAUAAUUCUUCUCCUCACAUGAGGGGAAGCUGAAAGUCGGUUUCGGCUGACACUUACAGAUGGGCCCGCGGCGCAUUAGCUAGUUGGUGAGGUAACGGCUCACCAAGGCGACGAUGCGUAGCCGACCUGAGAGGGGGAUCGGCCACACUGGGACUGAAACACGGCCCACACUCCUACGGGAGGCAGCAGUAGGGAAUCUUCCGCAAUGGACGAAAGUCUGACGGAGCAACGCCGCGUGAGUGAUGAAGGCCUUCGGGUCGUAAAACUCUGUUGUUAGGGAAGAACAAGUACCGGAGUAACUGCCGGUACCUUGACGGUACCUAACCAGAAAGCCACGGCUAACUACGUGCCAGCCGCCGCAGUAAAAC